rnacentral:rRNA from 1 species
AUGGGGGAGGAGGCCGGCGGCUACGAUUUUGACUUCGGGGGAGGCGGGGGAGGAUAUGGCGGGUACGACGGGCGGGUGACGGAGUGGGAGACGGGGCUGCCGGGGUGCGACGAGCUGACCCCGCUCUCGCAGCCGCUGGUGCCGCCGGGGCUCGCCGCGGCGUUCCGCAUCCCGCCGGAGCCGGGGCGCACGCUCCUCGACGUGCACCACGCGUCCUCCGCCACCGUGUCCCGCCUCCGCUCCGCCUCCUCCGGCAACGGCCACGCCGGCACCGGCGCCAACGGCGCAUCCUUCCCCUCCUUCCCCGGCAAGGGGGCGGCGGCUGGGGAUGACAGCGGCAACCGGGACAACAACUCUGCCGAGUCGGCCGGGGAGAAGUCGGCGGCGGCGAAGCGGGCGCGGCUGGUGUGGACGCCGCAGCUGCACAAGCGGUUCGUGGAGGUGGUGGCGCACCUGGGCAUCAAGAGCGCCGUGCCCAAGACCAUCAUGCAGCUGAUGAACGUGGAGGGGCUCACCCGCGAGAACGUCGCCAGCCACCUCCAGAAGUACCGCCUCUACGUCAAGCGGAUGCAGGGCCUCUCCAACGAGGGGCCCUCCGCCUCCGACCACAUCUUCGCCUCCACGCCCGUGCCGCCCAGCCUGCGCGAGCCCCAGGUGCCCCACGCCGCCGCCAUGGCCCCCGCCAUGUACCACCACCACCCCGCGCCCAUGGGCGGGGUCGCCGCCGGCCACGGCGGCUACUACCAGCAGCAGCACAGCGGCCACGCCGUCUACAACGGGUAUGGCGGACACGGCCACGGCGGCGGCGUCUCCUCCUACCCGCACUACCACCACGGCGACCAGUAG